UAGGAUAAUGAGGACGGGUGCAGCCACUAUUGUAGAUGGAAAGUUGGGAAGGUAAGAUAUAGACGGGAAUUGAAUGCAUAUCAGUACGCAACGAUUAACCGUUACUAACGAAAAAGACGAUUCUGAGCGGAGUUCGGAUUAUAAUGUAGUAUUGUCAACAAUAUAUGUCAUAGACAGUGUAUCCUAGCGUGUUCAACGGUUUUCAAUGUUUUUAGGGCUGUUAAUAUUACAUUUUUUCGAUUUUUUUUUUUCAACCGGUUUGUUUUCAAGGGGAACAUCGAUUUGA